GCUGAGAAGGAAACGGAUAGAGUUAACGAAACUUGGUGGCAUUCAUCCGGCUAAUGUUGCUGUUGGUUGCCUGGCUGUACUGCCUUUUAUCGGGUAGCGGUCGGGCGACUAAACUGGCCGCGUUUGGUUGGUGCUUUUGCCAUCGGUAUGCGCCGAGAGGUUCGCUGUGGUGCGUUGAUACCUGGCAAAGAGGACCGCGCCCUUCACUGGGUGUGGAAACUUUUGCCGGUGCUAGGCGUAUCCGCGGUGAAUCGUAGUGUUCGCUUUUGCUACAACGUCUGCCCUAUCGGGUGCAACGGCCGUUGGUGUGGUUGAUGUGGCUGUUGAGCGGUCGCGUGCGACUUGCUUACAGUCGAUGUUGGCUCGCCUGAUGGCACGUUUGCGUAGGGCGUUGUGUCUCGGUGUGAAAGUUGACCACCUAUCCGACCCGUCUUGAAACACGGACCAAGGAGUUUAGCAUAUGCGCGAGUCAUUGGGUGGUAAACCUAAAGGCGUAAUGAAAGUAAAGAUCGAACUUUAGUUUGAUUGAUAUGGGAUCUGCGGAGGCCUGUACUCCAGCAGCGCACCAUAGUCCCGUCUUUGUUGCUUGCAAUAGGGCGGAGAUAGAGCGCAUACGCUGAGACCCGAAAGAUGGUGAACUAUGCCUGAGCAGGAUGAAGCCAGAGGAAACUCUGGUGGAAGUCCGAAGCGGUUCUGACGUGCAAAUCGAUCGUCUGACUUGGGUAUAGG
rnacentral:rRNA from 1 species